UUCUCACUUUGCAUUAAAAUAAGGGGUUUUUGGAGCAGUUAAUGUGCAUAAAUGCCACUACUGUUCUUAUGUCACUAUGGAACCCAUACUCACUUUGAUUUUGAUUUAAAACAGAGUUCUUGGUAGUUAAUGUGCUUAAAUUUAAACGCCAGUACUGUGCUUAUGUCACUAUAGAACUCAUGUAUCCUCACUUUGCAUUAAAACAGAGGGUCUUCGGGCAGUUGAUAAACUUAAAUGCCAUUACUGUCUUUAUCUUACUUUUGCAACCCACCCAUUCUCGAUUUGAAUUAAAACAGAAGUUUCUUGGGCCAGUUAAUGUGCUUAAAUGCAACCACUGUGCUGUGUCACUAUAGGACCCAUCUAUCCUCACUUUGCAUUAAAGCAGAGGGUCUUUGGGGCAGUUGAUAAACUUAAAUGCAACUACUGUGCUUAUAUCACUCUAGAACCCAUAGCCUCACUUUGCAUUAAAACAGGGUCCUUGGGGCAGUUAAUGGGCUUAAAUGCACUACUGCCUUUUGUGUGGAACCCACUCAUCCUCACUUUGCAUUAAAACAAGGGAUUUUGGGAGCAGUUAUUGUGCAUAAAUGCCACUACUGUCCUUAUGUCACUAUGGAACCCAUACUCACUUUUACUUUGAUUUAAAACAGAGUUCUUGGUAGUUAAUGUGCUUAAAUUUAAACGCCAGUACUGUGCUUAUGUCACUAUAGAACUCGUAUAUCCUCACUUUGCAUUAAAGUAGAGGGUCAUUAUGCCACUGCUGUGCUUGUGUUAAGGUGGAACCCACGCAUGCUCACUUUGCAUUAAAACAGAGGUUCCUUGGUACAGUUAAUAUGCUUAAAUGCCACUACUGCCCUUAUCUUACUUUUGCAACCCACGCAUCCUCGAUUUGAAUUAAAACAGAAGUUUCUUGGGCCAGUUAAUGUGCUUAAAUGCAACCACUGUGCUGUGUCACUAUAGGACCCAUCUAUCCUCACUUUGCAUUAAAGCAGAGGGUCUUUGGGGCAGUUGAUAAACUUAAAUGCAACUACUGUGCUUAUAUCACUCUAGAACCCAUAGCCUCACUUUGCAUUAAAACAGGGUCCUUGGGGCAGUUAAUGUGUUUAAAUGCCACAGCUGUCCUUAGGUUAAUAUGGAACCCACCCAUCCUCACUCUGCAUUAAAACAGGGUCCUUGGGGCAGUUAAUGUGCUUAAAUGCCACUAUGGAACCCAUCUAUCCUCACUUUGUAUUAAAACUGAAGGACCUUGAAACUGUUACUCUGGUAACUUUUAUCCUCCCAUUCCUCUGCAUUGCCUGAGAGUAGAUAUGUUAUUGAAAUGUGCUUAUUUGGUUGCUGUGGCACCUUCUUUUUGUCUCUUUCCAUUUCCUCCCACUCCCUUUGCAGUAUAGCAGAGGGUACUUGGGCCUGUUAAUGGGCUUAAUUAUAGGAUUCCCAUGCACUCCUAGGCAGUUUACAUUUACUAGACAUAUAUUUGGUUCUGUGAAGUUGCCUAAUUGCAGCAGUGGUCCUUUUUGUCUAGGUUCCCAAUCCACCUCUUAGCCCUUUUACAAUACCUGGAUGGGCAUUUGGCACUGUCAGUGUGCUCAACUGAAGUUGUGGUCCCUUCUGUAAUUCCAGGAUCAUAUCCUGCCUUUUCCCUUUUCAUUACCUAGGAGGCUUUGGGGACUGUUAAAAGCCCCUGGGGCUACUGUCCCUUCCACUUGUCUAAGAUCCCAUCCCUCCCUCCCCCAUCUCACUUGGCAUUACAACAGUGACUGUUGUGCUUAAUGUGCUUAAAGGCAGCUAUAGUCCCUUUCCUUAGUCUGGGAUCCAUCCAGGCCCUUAAACAUCUUUUGCAUUACCAUAGAAAGUACUUGGGACUGUAAGUGUGGUUAAAUGCAAGUGUGGUCCCUUUUGUUAGUUUAGGAACAUGACUUUUCAGUUUCUUUAUAUCAUCUGGAAGUCAUUGUAGAUAAAGUUCUAAUUGUAGCUGUGGUCCCUUUUGUCAAUCUAAGAUUCCUUUUUCUCCUACUUCAUUUGCAUUACAACAUAGGGUUCUUGGAACUAUGAAGGGGCGUCUUGUCCUGUCACAUAUAUUAAAUUUUACAAAAGAGGAUCUGAACACCAAAACCCCUUCUUUUGCACUGUUAAUGCAAAUGAAGCAUUAACAUUAAAUGAAGCAUUUGCUUUUAUCCUUUCUCCUCUGCAGUAGAUAUAGGCCUCACUCAUUUUCCUUAUAUUCAGCAGUGGAUGCCCUUUACUAAGGACCUUUGUACUUAAUAUAGUUAAAAGUGAGUCAUAGUAGUUGACCACAAUUAUGUCUUUUAUGAAAGUGGUUGACCCUCUUCAUUUUACAAGAAGGUGUAUUAAUUACCUGUUACUUGCCUUAUGUUAGAAUAGCAUCCCAUUUCAUUGCCCCAUUUAUAUUACUGCAAGGGCUUCUGACUAGCCAAGAUUCACUCUCCUGGACUGUUAAUGUGCAUACUUACAUUUGCUCCUGUACCUGUACACCAGGUAAUGCCACUCCCCCAUCAUAUUUAUACUCUAGCAGGAGGUGCCUACUGCUAAAGACCUUACACAUUUAUGCAGUUAAUGUACACAACUUUUAUCUUGUACACACUCUCAGUAGUCCAUAACUGUGCCUUUUCAAUCUCUUGCACUUAUGGAAGCAGAGGUUACUGACCUUAAAGCCCUCUCUUGGGACUAUGGAUAUGUUUAAUUAGUUGUCUAUAAUCUUUUGAAUUAAGAUGGGUUCCUGACUCUUCACACCCUCUUUGCUUUACUGCGUGGGGUACUGUCCACUUAAGGCCCCUUUUCAAACUGUUGAUGUGUAUAAUAAUUACAUUAGAAUCCUUCCUCUGAUUUCAAUCUCUUUAAAAUACCAGAGGGAUUCUGACUCUGAAGGACCCAUUUCUUAGCUCGAUAAUAUGAAUGUGCUUGUCUGGGUUUCUGUGUACUAGACAAUGACACCUCCUCUCCCUAUCCCCUUUCAGCAUUGAGUGCCCUCUGUACAAGACUGUUAACAUGUGGACAGUCAAGGUGCGAAAUUAUAGUUGAUUACAGCCUUAUACCUGGGACAUUAAUGUGUGUAAUUUCACAUGGCUCAUCUCAUUUGAAUAAGAUCCUAUAUGCUCUCAGACCCUUAUUAUAGUAUAGCAAGGGUACUGAUCACAUGAAAAGGUAUCUUUUCAUGGCUUAUUGUGCAUAAUUGCAUCUGUACAUGUUCUUGUACACCAGAUAAGGACAACCCUCUCCUUAUUCCCUUAGCCUUUUAGCAAGGAGUGCCCACUACCUUAAGAUUUUUAUAUUGGUACAAGGUACAAGGUUUUAAUUAACUAUACCAUAUUCCUUGGACAUUAAUGUACAUAAUUUCAACUUGGUUCAUCCUACCCUAUUGCUCUCCGUUGACAGUAUACCAUAGUUGCUGAACCCUAAAUCCCCUUUACUUGGCCUAUUAAUGUGCGUAAUUGCAUUUGCCUGGGUUCUUGUACACUAGACUAGGACACUGACACACAACAUACUCCCAACCUCCUUUGCCUUCUAGUAGGUAACACCUACUAUUGAGACCUUUGCAUUUGGACAGUUAAUGUGCAGAAUUGCUGUUUUCCAUAUCCCUAUCACUUCUAGGACUAUUGUACCUCCUUUGCACUAUUGCAGGGGAUACUAUUUUUUUCUCCAAGGCCUCUUCUAGUGGACUGGUACUAUACAUAUUGAAAUUGUCUAUUGUCUUUAUUAGUAGACACCCCCCCUCCCCCGCCCCACCCUGCCAACUUCCCUUUGCAGUACAGCAGAGUGCUCAUCAACCAAAGCCCUCAUUGGACCUUUAAUAUCUGCAGUUACAUUUUCUCCUGUUCUCUGCACUAGAUAAGCCCAUCACCUACUUCCUUAGCAUUUGCAUCAGACAGUGCCCACUACUCAAAAGAUUUGUUCACUUGGAAGUUUCAUGUGCACAAAUGUAAUUUUGUAAGUAAAUCUUAUAUCAGAAUGACUGUACCCUCCUUGCUUUAGAGCAAGGAGAUGCUAUUCAACGGGCCCCUCCCUCUUUUCUACUUUAAUGUGCAUAAUUGCAAUUGUCCUUGCUUCUGUUCGAGUAGGAUUGCAUCUCCUCAUUCCCCCCUUUGUAUUAGGGGCAUAUUAACUAUGAAUGAGCUCUUCUAUUGAGAUUAUUAAUGUGCACAAUUAAUUGUAUUUGUCUGUGGGCCUAUGCAGUAGGAAAGGUGCUGUGCUCUAUGCCCUUACCAUUGCCUUUGAAUUACUGCUGACCUCAGCUCUCAAACAUUUAUCCAAAAUUCUGAUUAUUAUAUAGGACCCCAUAUUUUCUUUGUAUACAUCAUGUAUGACCCCUUCUGUUGGAAUAGGAUACCAUUCCAUUAUAACCCCUAUGCAUUACUGCGGGGGCUGCUGACCACACAAAACUGCAAAUGUUGAUAGACACAAUGGCAAUUAGCAAUGGGUUUGUCCUCCCUGAUCUUAUUAGGCAAGCACUCCCAGCCCCAAUUUCUCAUGGCAUCAUAAAGUGUAAACAUUGCAGUAUGCCCUUAACUUGUCCUUCAAAGAGCAACCGAUACUCCCACUCCUUUUGCAAUGCUCCAGGGCAUACAUUUCCAAGUAGUCAUGGUCCUACCUUUAUCUUCCCUCUUCCUACCUCUUGCCUGUCCUUGGACCCUUCUGUGGACCAUUAAUAAUCACAAUUUCAGUUGUCCAUGUAUCCAGCCAUUAGAUAAUAUUGUGAUCCUUCCUGCCCCUGCCCCUGCCCCUGCCCUGCCACACCCCGCCCCACCUCAUCCUGCCCUUUUGAAUUGCUGGUGGGGAAUGUUGAUUGGGCAAGGCCCUUUCACUUGGGCUUAAAUGUUAACAAUCCCAGAUGUCAUUGGUUUACCCAGUUUAUAUUGCUGUGGUGCUUCAGUUGCACUUUACGUGGUCCUGACCAUCUGACAUGGACCCUCCAUUUCCCUUUUUGCAUUGCUUUUCAGUAAUGCUGACUACCCAAAGGUCCUUCUGUGUUUUUACUCAACACAGUACUGAUUGUCCCAUUUUCCAACCCAUCAGCUCAAGACCUCCCUACCACUUUGAUGUUGUGUUUGUUUGUGCAGUGUUGUUUACCAAAAGCAGGCCUGAACUAGGUGGAUGGGCCUUCACUCCUUUUCUUGCAUUUGUUAAUAAUCUGAAUUCCAAUUAUUGUCCUAUUCUUGGGACAGGAGUUAUCUCUGCCCACCUCUGUUACUGCUUUACUGGGCAAAAUGCUCAAGGCAAGGCAAGCCCAAGGAGCUGGAUUGCCACCCUUUACAUUCUGGAUUUUUAACACACACACACACACACACACACACACACACACAUCAGUUGAAAGUUGUCUACCCAGGAAGGAAGGUUAACACUAUCUCUGCAUUUUUCCUUCCGAAGCAGGUUUCCUGGCUGAGAAUCUCUCCUCUUUGUAUAUUGCUAUUCUACAGAGUCAAUUGCCAGGAUACAACCAAAAGUUAUCGCUAUUUUUUAUUAAGAAAGACAUCUGGAUUGCAAGGUGGAAUUGAUAAACUGGGCAUUAAACUUUUGAAGUUAAAAACCCAUUUAUACCAUGUACUUGAUGACCAGUGUCUCUCAUUUUACUAAGGGUGGUGGGUCUGUGGAUAGACCACUGUGACUCUUGCUAUACUAAAGGAGUUCGAGAAUGGAACUCUUAAGACCAGUAUCUUUGAGCUCUACCACCAUUCUAAAACCAUGCCAUUUGGGUUUUACCACCAUUCUCUUUUAGAAAAACUACCUACAUUUCCUAAUCCUUAAGUUUCUUCAUCUGGAACACCAACCAGCCCCUACUUAUUUCAAGAAGAUAAUAACUGUAAAAGCAUGAAAUGAGACAACAUAUAUUGAGGUGCUUUUGAAAACCAAAGUUCACCUUAUUUGAUUAAUCUAUUACAUAAUGAGGACUUAAAAAUGAUGGGACCUGUUUCCCUGUUUUAUAUCAAAAGAAUAGUAAGCUAAGAUCUAGCCAUUCUUCCGGACAUAAACUUGUUUGACAGUGCGCUACCUGGUAAAAAUGGUUAGCCUAGCCUCUACUGUACAGGUUUUGGUGGCAGAGAAGUAUUUAAUAAAGAACUACUGAAGCAAAUAACUAGUCAUCACAACAGCAGUUCUUUGUAAUCACUGAAAAAGAAUACUAUUCCUCUAAGUAGGAUGUCAAAAGGUCAUCCCAGGUCAGGGUGCAGUUUAUACUUCUAGCUCCUUGGACAGCUGUAAGAAGAGUCUCUGGCUCUUUAGAAUUCUGGAUGAAUUCUGAGCCAGUUCUGAACCCCUACUUAGGAAUGAUGGGUCAAUUGUAGGUGGACUGAAGUCUGCACUAGAAAGCAUCCAAAGGACAUUCUGGAUAGGUGAGACCUGAGGACUACAAGAAACUCUAAGAAGCUCCAUAUUCAGUACAUCUUUUCUUUUGAGAAUCUGGACAAGCUCCAACUAAUUGAAGGAUGGCUUGCAGACCACCUGAAGAAAAAGACCUUCCUUAGAAGAAUAGGCUUGUUGCUUUGCAGUGUUAGUGACCUAUUCCCUUUGACGAUCCCUAGGUGGAGAUGGGGCAUGAGGAUCCUCCAGGGGAAUAGCUCACUACCACUGGGCAACAACCCUAGGCCAGGAGGUUCUACCAAGAUUUUUUCCUGGGCCCAGAUAGGAAGGUGAAGUCUCAAGACAUCCUCCACACAUCAGAGCUCCUGUUUGUUCCCUUUAUAUCUAUCAAAUCGUUCAUCCUUCUGAAAAGCAAUCCAGAGAGCAAGAAAUUUGAACACAACAAAGGAAGAUCAACAUGCCUGGCACUCUAGCAUUUUAGAAUAGCAGAAUAAAUUGUUGUGCCCCUCACUAUAUCUUGUCUCUUCUACUUCUAAAAGUCUGCCUUGCCUCAUCUCUUUCACUCAUAAGUGUGUAUUUCUUUGCUUAUCUAUUUUUUCCUUGAAUGUCUUUGGUCUUUGUUCUCUCAAGUUUCUUACCCAAUUCCAUGAUCCUCUUGCUUGUUUCUUCUCUGUGUAUCUUUGUCUCGUUUUCUUUUUUGUUCAUAAGAGUUAUUUGUGCCUUGUCUUAGAUGGCUCUCAUUUUUUCAUUUUGUUACUAAUUGUCUUUGUUUUCCUAGCUCUUGCUCUUCUUUCACUGUUCUUCCCAUUGUGUCUCUGAGUCUCAUGCUUUUUGCUCAUUCCUUGUCUUGUCCACCUCUUUUUUUUCCUCUUUGUGAACUCUUGAUUGUUCAUCAUUCUCUCCCAUUUUGUUAGUUUGACAUUUUACCUUUUUCUGAUUCUGGCCUCCUUUCUGCUGUUUCUACUCUUCGUCUUGGGUUUCUCUCUUCUACAUGUCCUUUCUGGCCUCUCUUGGGCCAUUUUCUUUCCUUUUUCCUGCUCUAUGUGCCUCAGUGUCUCUUUGUUCUUUGUGUCUUUCCAUUUCACCUUUCUUCUCUCUGUUCUCUUGUUCUUUUGCUUUUCCCCUCCACCCACCUUUGGGUACUUCAGCCUCUUCAUGAGUCUGUGUCUUCCCCUUUGAUUUCUUGCAAUACUCUCUCCAUGCAUAUUUUUUUGUAAAUGUGUGUGUGUACAUCCAUGUGUGCAUGUUUGUGACAAAGGGGUUUCCUAACCCCUUCCUAAUAGGUGCAGAGUAUCUACUAUCAAAAUAAGCAUUGCAGAGCUGUUCCUUAUGCCAGGCCAUCCUGUGAGAUAAAUCCAAAACUAGUAGAAGGCCCAAGGAUCCAAAGACCUAAGAUGUACAGAAGGUGGAAGGCCCAUAAUGGAUAUAAUUCCCAACACAGAAGACAGAAUUGAGACCUGUGGACUAAAGUAUAAAACCUGUGUCCCAAGAUAUUUGGAAACCUCAGCCUUGAGACCAUCAGAAGCCCUAGAGCCAUUAUGUACAUAAAGAAGGUGGCCUUUGUCGGAUAACUGAGUUGGAUGCAAGUCUUGUGUCUUGAGUUAGACAAAAGGCUGAAAACCCAGGAUGAAAGAACCAAGCCUAUGAGUGGGGAUACAUAGAAAGCCUGAGACCUGAGUCACAAGACCUGAGAUAAAAAAAACUUAGCUUGAAGACUUAAGACCCAAGGAUAUGAGGUGUCACACACACAUAAAGACCCUGGAGUCAAGCAUCUCUAGGUGGACUUGAAAGACCAAGAGAGACCAAUAUCUUAAGACUAAAUUAAGCUGGAGUUCCAUGACCCUAAAUCUAGGAAAGCCGGAAACCCCAAGACCAGAGGAAGUCCCAAUAUGAGGACCCUAAACCUCUAUUCUGCUAUCCUUCCUACCCUUGGAUAUUUUCAGUUCUUCCUUUCCAGUUUUUAUAUCUCUAUUUAAGCCCACUAAUUUUGUGAUAUCCUUUUUGAUGUUGUUAUUAUCUUGAGAUUGGCAAUAUUAUGCCUGGGCCAGUGUAAGGUUCUUUUUAUUAUAGUUUUGAGUCAUUUAUUAAGUUUUAGGUAUUUUUUUAAACUUUACUUUUUUUUACCUCCACUCGUUGGAGAGAGACAUAUCAGUGAAAUUGUAUUUCAGUCCUCUCUUUUCCUCAGAAGCUCUAGGCUGAUGAGAAGAGGAAAGUGUCAGGCUAUGUAGAGAAAAUGUGAAGAGAUGCCUCAGGCCAAUGUGAACAUUUAGAUAGAAAAUACACAGAUGUGCCAGCCUGGUGAGAAGGAUCAGCCAGUAACAUGAUUUCUUUGAGCUUGAGUGAACAGGAUUCCUGGGGUUUGGGAUUCCUAGUGAUGGUUAGAAAAAAGAAUGAGUAGUCCUGGAACAGAGUGAUGUCCCAAGGAGACAGCCUGAACUCCCUGCUCAUAGUAGUGGCCUAAUAAUUUGGUAGACUACACCAACCCUGCCCUAGGCUUUAAUAUCAACCUCUGGGCUUAAAGAUGACAGAAUUUGGAAGUAAUUAGGUUUAAAUCUUUCCUUUUUCUCCCCCUUAUCACGAGGAAAGAUAAUUUAAAUAACUGAGAUAUAUAUGAAAAUAAGGUGUUUUCAUUAAUAGUGUAUUGCCAGCUAUGCACAGCUAAUAUGUAUUAUAAGUACACUGUCAGUUUUGAAGCAUUUUGUACAUCAGGGAAUCACACUCUUAAAGGGGAAAAGGUAAAUAUUUUAGUCUUUGCAGGCCUAUGGUCUCUACAUUUCACUUCCCCCUACCGCCAGUCCUUUAAAAAGGAAAACUAUUCUUAUCAUGUUAACCAAGUAGAUUUGGUCUGUGGGCCAUAGUUACCCCUGAUGUAAAUGCUGAAUAAUAUUAAUUUCCUUGUGUGAGCCUGUCCCUGUUCUAGGCACUAAGGAUUCAAUGAUUAUCAUCACAUCCAGGUGACCUAAAUAAAAAUGUGUGAAUAUGCUUUUAAACUAUGAAAGUGCUUAAAGAUGUAUUAAGUUUCAGACCUGAUAAAUAUUGAUUACAUAUCAACAGUAUGUAAUACUAUGUAGAUAUUAGGAAUUAAGUGAUUAAUCAAUGAAAAUUUCAUAUAUUUGUAACCGUGUUGCUGCUGCUUUGGUGAUUUUGAGUAAAUACAGUAUUCCAAGUAGCAGAAAAGAAAACACGUAGAAACUGCUUUUAAACUGUAAAAUAUACAGCAAACACAAGGGAUUAAGCUAUUUUGAUGACUUACAAUGGGCCAGAUAACUUGCUAAACACUACAGAAACAAUCUCAAUAUAGAAUUAAAAUUUUCAGAUAAGAAAUGCAUUUUAAAGUGGUUUGUAAACUAAAGCACUAAAUAUCAAUGAGCUAAAUGUUAUGAAUGAAUGAAUGAAUGAAUGAAUGAAUAUUAACUGCCUUUUAUGUGACAACUAUUGUUUUGGGUUCUGUGAAAUCUAAGGCAAAACUCCCAAGUAAUAAGUGGGAGGUUUAUAUUGUGAAUUAUUUAUAUGUAAGGAAAUUAGAUAAUGCUUAUUUUAAUCAGUCAAGACUUUACUGAUAAUAUCAAGUUAUUAUUACCAGUAUAUUUUCCAAGAUAACAGGAAAAUGUAAUGAAUGAGACUGAGCUUUCUAAACUAUAAAGUGCUAUAUAAAUAUGACAUUAGGUAUUUUCUCUGUGAAUAAAAUUUUUCGUGAGAUAAACAUUCUUUAUAAAAUUCACCCACUAUGAGAGUGGUAGUAAAAUAGUUAUGCAAACUUGAGGGUUUGAAUACUUGUUAAAUGAAAGCAUAUCAGUUGUCUACUAUGUGAAAUCACUGUUACAGGCACUAAAGAGAUACACACAUUUAUAAUUUUAUUGUGCCUACAAUUGAGAAUAAGGCAAUACAUAUGUUAGUAUUUUGUGAACUCUAAAGCACCAUAUAAAUGUCACUAUUAAUUUUUCUCACUUGGUGCAAAGUACUAUAAAAAGUUCGAAAUAUUUAAAGUAUUAACUAUUGAACAAUCUGAAUAUAAUAUGUAAAAGAUUAAAUUUAUGAUGAAUGCAAGACUGGGUAAUAAUUGUCUACUAUGCCAGUCUUUUUGCUAGGCACCAAGGACCUGAAGAUAAAACAUCUUUAUUGUGUCCUUGAUAGCUGAACAUAAUGUCUGAAGUCAAUUUAUAAGUCUUGAACUGCCAUACAUAUGUAAGCAAUAUCCGUUUUAUGAAUAUUGAUUUUUUACUCUCAUCCUCAGAGAUAACAACUAGUGAUGCAAAAAUUCAUCACCCUUAUUAUUGAAUCUGUAACAGAGGUCUAUGUGUAAAUUUAGAAAACCUAGUGUUCUAUAUAGAUAUAAGGAAUUAACUGUUGGCUUAAUGAAUGAUGAAUGAUUACUUUUUAUGAGGCUUAAAACUACAUAUGCCCUAGUAUAUAAAUACGAUUUUAUCCUCAUGGGAUGCUUAUAGAAGGAAAUAAUGUAAUAGGUGUGAGCUCCAGACUAAAAAGUACUUAACUACUGCUAGGCUUAUUUAAUGAUAAAAACAUUGAGAAUAUAGAAUUGUACAAAGCAGUACAUGGAAAGAUACAAUCCAGACCAAAAAGCUCCUUGCUCCCUCGCCUAAUUAAAGAGAUGGAAUUUUUUUUUUUUUUUUUUAAAGCAAGCUGCUCUUGUUCUCCAUCAGUUUUUUAAAUGCUGAAUGCUAAAGAUGGAGGUGAAUUAGCUCCACCUUGGCCUGGCUUAAAGAUAUUUAAGAAGUAAAAAUAAAUGGCUCAGCAGUGCUUUUAGAUUUCAUUUGAUAAGCACAGCAUAUUUUGUGUGCAAUAAAUCAUUCUAGGUCCUGAGCAUAAGAGCAGUGAAAUGGGCCUAGUCUAAAGGUCUUUAGAUUGAACACAGAUCAUAGCUGCAGAUAUGAAAAUAUCUUUGAUUUUUUAGUAAAUAUUUGAGUGCCUAUUUUCUGGGAAGUAUUAUGCUCAUUUAAUGAGUCGAGUAGGUAUGGCUCAGAAAUCCCAUUGGCUCGCCUUGGAGAUUAAAGGAAAAAAAAGUCAUGGUCCUUUUAAUAUAUUUUCCCUAGUUCUGGAUAGUCUCAACUUCACAUGCUCAGUGACCUAAAUUGAAGCCAGAAGACUGUUAAAAGGGCUCAGGAUUUGUCCUUUAAUUCAUUAAUUUAAGUUUCUGCUUCUAUUAUAGUUUAAGAUAAGAAUUAAGAUGAAACAACUGGUUUUAAAAAUAUUUGCUCAUUGGUCUAGCCUAGAAUCAGGAAGCCACUUGAGCAAUAAAAAUGAUUUUAUCUAUAAACAUUUAUUCACUCUGAAUAAAGUGCUGAGAGAAUUAAGAGAUUCCAAAGACCAAACUGCACUUUCAUGUCCUCUAGCUUAUGGUUGAAACACCCAGAAUAAAUUUUAUCACUGCAGGUCUUUCAUUGAGCAGCUGUGAUAUUAAGACACUGAGAAGGAAUGAUUAAAUAGAUCACCUUCUCUUUGACAUGUUUUGUAGAAUGGGAAUGAGAGCUUCCUACUUAUUCAUUCAUACAAACAUUGAAGAUGAUGCUAAAAGAAAUAGAUCUGGUAGAAAUGGCAUUUUAUCUUGGAGAUGCAAUAAAAAACAAGGAAUGUGAUAAAACAUUAAGCAGAAGUGUCUAUUUGCAAUGUGCUAAUUUCUAAACAAAACAAAAAGAUCUUAACUAAAAGACACUUGUUUUUAACUAGCUUGGAGACUAGAAUAUAAAAAGUUACUGUUCAUUCACUUUUUUUCAUUUAUUCAUUCAUUCUACAAGUAUAUUUGAGUGCCUAUUUUAUAUAAAGUACUUGUUAGGUUCUCACUUGGCCCAAGAGACAUGAAAAAUGUAUGCUUUCCCAGAGAAAUUUUAAAAACUUUGCUUUUGGGGUGUUUUCGUUAGGGGUUGACUUAGCCCCUGAGUAACAUUGUGUGGUUUAAUUCCUACUCCAUAUUUCUUCUAUCACUCUGGCCACUACGAUAAGCAGGGUUUUCCACUGAGAUAGCUCCUUAAGUUCCAGGAAUCCUCUUUAUAAUAGACACUUCCUUUUCCUAGCUCAUGAAAAAUGAUUGGCUACUGUUGAAUAGAAGAAGGGAUGACAACUAAUUCCCAAACCACAGUGUCAAUCAUACCAGCCUUGGGGAGCCAUGCAUACUCAAGCCACAAUUGGUUUUGAAACAUUUAACAAUUUUGUCUAUUUUCAAUUCUUUAUCCUUUACAUUCUGACAAAUAUACACUGCCUAACUAGAUCGGAGGAACAAUCCCCAGAUAGUACAUAGCAAGACUGAAGAUGGAGACAUGAUUUCUCUUUAACAACAGAUUUUGACUUAAACUUUAGAAAUCGCCUCUCAGUAUCAAAACUGGGUCACGAAAGGACUUAUAUAUGGUAGAAUAUGGUCAGUGAAUGAAAGUGGCUUAACAAUUUAUCAUGCUUAAAUUUUAAGAGUAAUAAAAAUGAGAAAUAAUUGGCAAAAAUUUGAGGGAAAAAUACAAUAAAUAAAUAAAUAAAUAACCCAAACCUCUAAAUCCAGGCCCCACUCGGCUUUGACCUUUUCUAUUUUUAAAUCACUCACAGAGGGUGGGAUAGGAGGAAGAGUGAAAGAAAAGGUCAAACCUGUUUCUAAGGGCAGCCUGCCUUUUUUUGGAUUGGUCUUAUGAACUCCGGGUCUAACUUGAGGAUUGCUUUGUCCUCAUUCAUUUCUUUGGCUGAAUGAUGAUAUUAUCAAUUAAGCCUUGGGUUACAUAACUAUGUGAUUUAUCAAUUAAAUCAAUUUAGCCUCCAUCAUAAAGUAGUGUUAAAUCUAAAGGCAAAUUUCACUGUAAAGGAAGAGGACUUCAUAGUUCACUGUAAUUUAUAAUACUUUAAAAGCAUAUAUACUUGAGUUUACAUGGCAAGCCAUUUAUAACAAGCAUAAAUGAAGAAGAAAAUGUGGAGGUAGCACAUUUGAGAAUUUGGGAGGAUUUUUCUGAUUUUUGCUUUGUACAUUUUAAUUUUGACAUCAGAUACAUCUGUAAUGUUUGACUUUUAAUAUGUGGUAUCAGCUGGACUCAGUAACACUCUUUUCUCCAGUUGGGGGUGGAUUUUCAUAUUUGGAAAGUGCAAAGAAGAAAGUAGCUACAAGCCUGCCUUUUGUGGUUUCUGACAUCCUGAGACUACCACUACUGAUAAAACAAGAAUAAGAGAACAUGCUACCAUCAUCUGUUUUUUGUGGCAUAAAUAAAGCAGUAAACAAAUCCAUUUUUAUAAGAAUGUACUUAUCUCCACCCUUCAACCUCAAAGGGAAUAUAUGCCAAAAUGCUCCAUUAAAUGAAAGAAAUUCUUUGACUUGUGUACAGAUGUGAAAUGCAGAAUCUCCGUCUUGGGUGGUUUGAAGAUUGACAAAUCUUGCUCAGCAUAGGUGACAUCAAAAAGCAAUCUUAAAGCCAUCAUAUAACAACUGAGAUAAAUUGGGGAGUGUUUUUUCUAAUGUCAAAUAAAAGCUAAUGUUUUGAAAACUUUGUA